ensembl:lncRNA
GUGGGCACUUUGGAUUAUGCACAUCUGGUCAUGGGUCUGUCUUUGGGGAAAACUCUGGGGUUGAAUCUAACCUCUGAGGUUCUCCACCCCAUCUACCUCAGUGUCUGCUGAAACCCCAGUACAGUUUGUGCUGGAAUCUAGUAAGGUCAUUAACAUUCAACAUCCUGUCAUUAUCAGCCGCAUUCUGGAUGAUUUUGUUACCGCGGAAUUCUGAGAGGGUACAAAUCCGUCUCAGCCCAGCUAAUUAGAUCUACUUUGAAUCUAGUGUUCAAAAAGAAGACAGCGUCACACUUUAGGGUGGUCAGGAUGGCCUCUGCCAGCUCCAGGGUUUGGUCAGCGUCUUCCCAUGGAGCAGACAGAACAGAAGUCUCAGGAGGCUGGAGAUAUAAUCAUGCAGUGAAGACAGAAGACAGAGGCCGGAAGACGGGAGGCCAG